rnacentral:rRNA from 1 species
AACGCUAUCUACAGGCUUAACACAUGCAAGUCGAGGGGCAGCAUGGUCUUAGCUUGCUAAGGCCGAUGGCGACCGGCGCACGGGUGAGUAACGCGUAUCCAACCUGCCUUACACUCUUGGACAGCCUUCUGAAAGGGAGAUUAAUACAAGAUGUUAUCAUGAGUAAGCAUUUUCGCAUGAUUAAAGGUUUACCGGUGUAAGAUGGGGAUGCGUUCCAUUAGAUAGUAGGCGGGGUAACGGCCCACCUAGUCUUCGAUGGAUAGGGGUUCUGAGAGGAAGGUCCCCCACAUUGGAACUGAGACACGGUCCAAACUCCUACGGGAGGCAGCAGUGAGGAAUAUUGGUCAAUGGACGAGAGUCUGAACCAGCCAAGUAGCGUGAAGGAUGAAGGUUCUAUGGAUUGUAAACUUCUUUUAUACGGGAAUAAACGGAUCCACGUGUGGAUUUUUGCAUGUACCGUAUGAAUAAGGAUCGGCUAACUCCGUGCCAGCAGCCGCGGUAAUACGGAGGAUCCGAGCGUUAUCCGGAUUUAUUGGGUUUAAAGGGAGCGUAGAUGGGUUGUUAAGUCAGUUGUGAAAGUUUGCGGCUCAACCGUAAAAUUGCAAUUGAUACUGGCAGUCUUGAGUACAGUUGAGGUAGGCGGAAUUCGUGGUGUAGCGGUGAAAUGCUUAGAUAUCACGAAGAACUCCGAUUGCGAAGGCAGCUUACUAACCUGUAACUGACAUUGAUGCUCGAAAGUGUGGGUAUCAAACAGGAUUAGAUACCCUGGUAGUCCACACGGUAAACGAUGAAUACUCGCUGUAGGCGAUAUACAGUCUGCGGCCAAGCGAAAGCAUUAAGUAUUCCACCUGGGGAGUACGCCGGCAACGGUGAAACUCAAAGGAAUUGACGGGGGCCCGCACAAGCGGAGGAACAUGUGGUUUAAUUCGAUGAUACGCGAGGAACCUUACCCGGGCUUAAAUUGCAACCGAAUAUGGCGGAAACGCUAUAGCUAGCAAUAGCGGUUGUGAAGGUGCUGCAUGGUUGUCGUCAGCUCGUGCCGUGAGGUGUCGGCUUAAGUGCCAUAACGAGCGCAACCCUUGCCGAUAGUUACUAACAGGUUAUGCUGAGGACUCUGUCGGGACUGCCAUCGUAAGAUGUGAGGAAGGUGGGGAUGACGUCAAAUCAGCACGGCCCUUACGUCCGGGGCUACACACGUGUUACAAUGGGGGGUACAGAGGGCUGCUACCACGCAAGUGGAUGCCAAUCCCAAAAACCUCUCUCAGUUCGGAUUGAAGUCUGCAACCCGACUUCAUGAAGCUGGAUUCGCUAGUAAUCGCGCAUCAGCCACGGCGCGGUGAAUACGUUCCCGGGCCUUGUACACACCGCCCGUCAAGCCAUGGGAGCCGGGGGUACCUGAAGUGCGUAACCGCAAGGAGCACCCUAGGGUAAAACUGGUGACUGGG